CGGCGGACGGGUGAGUAACACGUGGAUAACCUACCUAUAAGACUGGGAUAACUUCGGGAAACCGGAGCUAAUACCGGAUAAUAUAUUGAACCGCAUGGUUCAAUAGUGAAAGACGGUUUUGCUGUCACUUAUAGAUGGAUCCGCGCUGCAUUAGCUAGUUGGUAAGGUAACGGCUUACCAAGGCAACGAUGCGUAGCCGACCUGAGAGGGUGAUCGGCCGCACUGGAACUGAGACACGGUCCAGACUCCUACGGGAGGCAGCAGUA
rnacentral:rRNA from 1 species